rnacentral:lncRNA from 1 species
AAUUAAGGAAAACUUGGUAAUCCUAGAGACUUUAAAGGAAGCUCAGGUUAGCUCAAAAAUUUUAAAAUGAGGCAUGGCAACGACGAAUUAGAUAAUUGUAUGUUCCAGGAGAAAACGAAACCUUAAUUCGCACACUUGAUCCAACGUUGCCAAGUCACUAAAAUCUCAAUAUUUGACACCAAUUUGACAAUUGACAGAUUAUCUUUUAAAUAAAUAAAUAAAUGUAAAUUGUAAAUAGUUAUCCUAACUGAACAAAACAAAGUCGGGAACAAUGGAUUAAUGGAUAUGUAAAAGCCAUAAGGAGAACAGAACUAAAAUUAAAAUAUGAAAGAAUAUGCAAUAAACAUUGUAUAAAAGUGGAAAGCCAGCCACUUUAAAAAGAUAUUCCAAACUAAAACAUGGGUUACCAAAGCAGGCAAUAAAAAGAAAAGGUGAUCUAGAAUGCAAGAGAAGAGCUGAUGAAAGAAGUAAAUGUAAAGAAAAUAAUGAAGAGACUUCUCUCGACCAUG